AAGCCAGCAACAACAAACAACAAGGAAAAGCAGACAUGAAUCCUUUCGUUGCUGUUCGCAAUCAACCAGAAGGGCGUCUUUGUUUCGUUAGUUUCACUUCACUACCUUUCAUUAUUCUAUUUCUAUUCUCCGAUUGGUAUUCCUCUUUUAAAUUGGCGAUGAUAUCGAAGCUGUUGAAAACCACAACGAUAAAAAAUAACUCAAAGAUUAGAAUAAUUAUUAUUUUAAUACUACUAUACUAUUAAAAAAAA
rnacentral:ribozyme from 1 species